rnacentral:rRNA from 1 species
GGUUAAGCGACUAAGCGUACACGGUGGAUGCCCUGGCAGUCAGAGGCGAUGAAGGACGUGCUAAUCUGCGAUAAGCGUCGGUAAGGUGAUAUGAACCGUUAUAACCGGCGAUUUCCGAAUGGGGAAACCCAGUGUGAUUCGUCACACUAUCAUUAACUGAAUCCAUAGGUUAAUGAGGCGAACCGGGGGAACUGAAACAUCUAAGUACCCCGAGGAAAAGAAAUCAACCGAGAUUCCCCCAGUAGCGGCGAGCGAACGGGGAGCAGCCCAGAGCCUGAAUCAGUGUGUGUGUUAGUGGAAGCGUCUGGAAAGGCGCGCGAUACAGGGUGACAGCCCCGUACACAAAAAUGCACAUGCUGUGAGCUCGAUGAGUAGGGCGGGACACGUGGUAUCCUGUCUGAAUAUGGGGGGACCAUCCUCCAAGGCUAAAUACUCCUGACUGACCGAUAGUGAACCAGUACCGUGAGGGAAAGGCGAAAAGAACCCCGGCGAGGGGAGUGAAAAAGAACCUGAAACCGUGUACGUACAAGCAGUGGGAGCACGCUUAGGCGUGUGACUGCGUACCUUUUGUAUAAUGGGUCAGCGACUUAUAUUCUGUAGCAAGGUUAACCGAAUAGGGGAGCCGAAGGGAAACCGAGUCUUAACUGGGCGUUAAGUUGCAGGGUAUAGACCCGAAACCCGGUGAUCUAGCCAUGGGCAGGUUGAAGGUUGGGUAACACUAACUGGAGGACCGAACCGACUAAUGUUGAAAAAUUAGCGGAUGACUUGUGGCUGGGGGUGAAAGGCCAAUCAAACCGGGAGAUAGCUGGUUCUCCCCGAAAGCUAUUUAGGUAGCGCCUCGUGAAUUCAUCUCCGGGGGUAGAGCACUGUUUCGGCAAGGGGGUCAUCCCGACUUACCAACCCGAUGCAAACUGCGAAUACCGGAGAAUGUUAUCACGGGAGACACACGGCGGGUGCUAACGUCCGUCGUGAAGAGGGAAACAACCCAGACCGCCAGCUAAGGUCCCAAAGUCAUGGUUAAGUGGGAAACGAUGUGGGAAGGCCCAGACAGCCAGGAUGUUGGCUUAGAAGCAGCCAUCAUUUAAAGAAAGCGUAAUAGCUCACUGGUCGAGUCGGCCUGCGCGGAAGAUGUAACGGGGCUAAACCAUGCACCGAAGCUGCGGCAGCGACGCUUAUGCGUUGUUGGGUAGGGGAGCGUUCUGUAAGCCUGUGAAGGUGUGCUGUGAGGCAUGCUGGAGGUAUCAGAAGUGCGAAUGCUGACAUAAGUAACGAUAAAGCGGGUGAAAAGCCCGCUCGCCGGAAGACCAAGGGUUCCUGUCCAACGUUAAUCGGGGCAGGGUGAGUCGACCCCUAAGGCGAGGCCGAAAGGCGUAGUCGAUGGGAAACAGGUUAAUAUUCCUGUACUUGGUGUUACUGCGAAGGGGGGACGGAGAAUGCUAUGUUGGCCGGGCGACGGUUGUCCCGGUUUAAGCGUGUAGGCUGGUUUUCCAGGCAAAUCCGGAAAAUCAAGGCUGAGGCGUGAUGACGAGGCACUACGGUGCUGAAGCAACAAAUGCCCUGCUUCCAGGAAAAGCCUCUAAGCAUCAGGUAACAUCAAAUCGUACCCCAAACCGACACAGGUGGUCAGGUAGAGAAUACCAAGGCGCUUGAGAGAACUCGGGUGAAGGAACUAGGCAAAAUGGUGCCGUAACUUCGGGAGAAGGCACGCUGAUAUGUAGGUGAAGUCCCUCGCGGAUGGAGCUGAAAUCAGUCGAAGAUACCAGCUGGCUGCAACUGUUUAUUAAAAACACAGCACUGUGCAAACACGAAAGUGGACGUAUACGGUGUGACGCCUGCCCGGUGCCGGAAGGUUAAUUGAUGGGGUCAGCGCAAGCGAAGCUCUUGAUCGAAGCCCCGGUAAACGGCGGCCGUAACUAUAACGGUCCUAAGGUAGCGAAAUUCCUUGUCGGGUAAGUUCCGACCUGCACGAAUGGCGUAAUGAUGGCCAGGCUGUCUCCACCCGAGACUCAGUGAAAUUGAACUCGCUGUGAAGAUGCAGUGUACCCGCGGCAAGACGGAAAGACCCCGUGAACCUUUACUAUAGCUUGACACUGAACAUUGAGCCUUGAUGUGUAGGAUAGGUGGGAGGCUUAGAAGUGUGGACGCCAGUCUGCAUGGAGCCGACCUUGAAAUACCACCCUUUAAUGUUUGAUGUUCUAACGUUGACCCGUAAUCCGGGUUGCGGACAGUGUCUGGUGGGUAGUUUGACUGGGGCGGUCUCCUCCUAAAGAGUAACGGAGGAGCACGAAGGUUGGCUAAUCCUGGUCGGACAUCAGGAGGUUAGUGCAAUGGCAUAAGCCAGCUUGACUGCGAGCGUGACGGCGCGAGCAGGUGCGAAAGCAGGUCAUAGUGAUCCGGUGGUUCUGAAUGGAAGGGCCAUCGCUCAACGGAUAAAAGGUACUCCGGGGAUAACAGGCUGAUACCGCCCAAGAGUUCAUAUCGACGGCGGUGUUUGGCACCUCGAUGUCGGCUCAUCACAUCCUGGGGCUGAAGUAGGUCCCAAGGGUAUGGCUGUUCGCCAUUUAAAGUGGUACGCGAGCUGGGUUUAGAACGUCGUGAGACAGUUCGGUCCCUAUCUGCCGUGGGCGCUGGAGAACUGAGGGGGGCUGCUCCUAGUACGAGAGGACCGGAGUGGACGCAUCACUGGUGUUCGGGUUGUCAUGCCAAUGGCACUGCCCGGUAGCUAAAUGCGGAAGAGAUAAGUGCUGAAAGCAUCUAAGCACGAAACUUGCCCCGAGAUGAGUUCUCCCUGAC